rnacentral:misc_RNA from 1 species
CCCUUGUGGAGGAGGACGCCGAAGGUGGGGCUAAUGACUGGGGUGAAGUCGUAACAAGGUAGCCGUACCGGAAGGUGCGGCUGGAUCACCUCCUAACAGGGAGACAACAAAAUGUUUAAUAUUAUUAUUUUGUCACCUUAGGUCGAUCGGUAUCUCACAUUCUUAAUUUUUUAAGGAUUUCAUUUCCUAAGUUUUUCUAGGUCACACCCAUUAUUUUCCCUGGGCCAUUAGCUCAGGUGGUUAGAGCGCACCCCUGAUAAGGGUGAGGUCCCUGGUUCAAGUCCAGGAUGGCCCAUAUCUCUAUGUUGGGGGUAUAGCUCAGUUGGUAGAGCGCCUGCUUUGCAAGCAGGAUGUCAGCGGUUCGAGUCCGCUUACCUCCACUGAUUACCACCUCUUCCAUAAUUAGUAGAAGGGAAAUGUUUUGAGUCGUGAUCAAAUUCUGAACGAAUCUAGCUUCCUAAUUAUCUUAAUUAAGAUGCUGGACUCAUUGAAUUAAUUUCAUUGUUUUCAGAGAACCUUGACAACUGCAUAGAUUUUUUUAAAGACAAUAAGCAUCUAUUAAUGAUGCAGAUUUAUUAUUUGUGCAAAUGCAUUAAUAACAAUUCUAUUAAGCUGAUGCUUCAAUUAUUGAAGUUAUUGGUCAAGCUACAAAGGGCUCACGGAGGA